UGCCGCGUGUGUGAAGAAGGCCUUCGGGUUGUAAAGCACUUUCAGACGUGAGGAAAAGCUAAGUAUUAAUACUAUUUAGCCCUGACGUUAACGUCAGAAGAAGCACCGGCUAACUCCGUGCCAGCAGCCGCGGUAAUACGGAGGGUGCAAGCGUUAAUCGGAAUUACUGGGCGUAAAGCGCGCGUAGGCGGUUAUUUAAGUCAGAUGUGAAAUCCCUGGGCUCAACCUAGGAACUGCAUUUGAUACUGGAUAGCUAGAGUAUGGUAGAGGUGAGUGGAAUUUCAGGUGUAGCGGUGAAAUGCGUAGAGAUCUGAAGGAACAUCAGUGGCGAAGGCGACUCACUGGGCCAUUACUGACGCUGAGGUGCGAAAGCGUGGGUAGCAAACAGGAUUAGAUACCCUGGUAGUCCACGCCCUAAACGAUGUCAACUAGGUGUAUGGAACUUUAUGUUCUGUGUAUCGAAGCUAACGCGAUAAGUUGACCGCCUGGGGAGUACGGCCGCAAGGCUAAAACUCAAAUGAAUUGACGGGGGCCCGCACAAGCGGUGGAGCAUGUGGUUUAAUUCGAUGCAACGCGAAGAACCUUACCUGGUCUUGACAUGUAGCGAACUUUCCAGAGAUGG
rnacentral:rRNA from 1 species